rnacentral:rRNA from 1 species
AUGGAAAUUUUAUGUUGGAACUGCCGCGGGAUGAGGAAGCCCGCGGCAAUUCGUGCGCUCUUGGGGAUCCAAGGGCGAGUCAGACCGGAUGUGCUUUUUCUGUCUGAAGCUCAUCUGAAUAAAGCUAAGGAAGAAAAGUUGAGAAGUAGGCUUGGUUUUGAUGUCAUGGAAGUUUCAGAAAGAGAUGGGAGAAGCGGAGGUUUGGUCAUGUUCUGGUCUAGUUGUCUUGGUGUCACAUCAACUGAUGUGCAACUAAACUAUAUUGACAUCUGA